rnacentral:rRNA from 1 species
AUUGAACGCUGGCGGCAGGCCUAACACAUGCAAGUCGAGCGGAUGAAGGGAGCUUGCUCCUGGAUUCAGCGGCGGACGGGUGAGUAAUGCCUAGGAAUCUGCCUGGUAGUGGGGGAUAACGUCCGGAAACGGGCGCUAAUACCGCAUACGUCCUGAGGGAGAAAGUGGGGGAUCUUCGGACCUCACGCUAUCAGAUGAGCCUAGGUCGGAUUAGCUAGUUGGUGGGGUAAAGGCCUACCAAGGCGACGAUCCGUAAUUGGUCUGAGAGGAUGAUCAGUCACACUGGAACUGAGACACGGUCCAGACUCCUACGGGAGGCAGCAGUGGGGAAUAUUGGACAAUGGGCGAAAGCCUGAUCCAGCCAUGCCGCGUGUGUGAAGAAGGUCUUCGGAUUGUAAAGCACUUUAAGUUGGGAGGAAGGGCAGUAAGUUAAUACCUUGCUGUUUUGACGUUACCAACAGAAUGAGCACCGGCUAACUUCGUG